GUUUUAAUAAUUUAAAAAAAAUAAUGAUUUUGUAAAUCAUUCAUAGGAAUUAACCUUUAAAACU
rnacentral:tRNA from 1 species